CGUUGGUGGCGACCUCUCCCUUAGCGGGCGGUCUAUUUGCACCUGUUUGUCAUCAAAUAACGCAAUAGCCAAAAAGCCCGCUCUCAGCGGGCUUUUUUG
rnacentral:sRNA from 1 species